GAUGAACGCUGGCGGCGUGCCUAAUACAUGCAAGUCGAGCGAACAGAUGAGGAGCUUGCUCCUCUGACGUUAGCGGCGGACGGGUGAGUAACACGUGGAUAACCUACCUAUAAGACUGGGAUAACUUCGGGAAACCGGAGCUAAUACCGGAUAAUAUAUUGAACCGCAUGGUUCAAUAGUGAAAGACGGUUUUGCUGUCACUUAUAGAUGGAUCCGCGCCGCAUUAGCUAGUUGGUAAGGUAACGGCUUACCAAGGCAACGAUGCGUAGCCGACCUGAUAGGGUGAUCGGCCACACUGGAACUGAGACACGGUCCAGACUCCUACGGGAGGCAGCAGUAGGGAAUCUUCCGCAAUGGGCGAAAUCCUGACGGAGCAACGCCGCGUGAGUGAUGAAGGUCUUCGGAUCGUAAAACUCUGUUAUUAGGGAAGAACAAAUGUGUAAGUAACUAUGCACGUCUUGACGGUACCUAAUCAGAAAGCCACGGCUAACUACGUG
rnacentral:rRNA from 1 species